UGUUAGUGGAAGCGUCUGGAAAGGCGCGCGAUACAGGGUGACAGCCCCGUACACAAAAAUGCACAUACUGUGAGCUCGAUGAGUAGGGCGGGACACGUGGUAUCCUGUCUGAAUAUGGGGGGACCAUCCUCCAAGGCUAAAUACUCCUGACUGACCGAUAGUGAACCAGUACCGUGAGGGAAAGGCGAAAAGAACCCCGGCGAGGGGAGUGAAAAAGAACCUGAAACCGUGUACGUACAAGCAGUGGGAGCACGCUUAGGCGUGUGACUGCGUACCUUUUGUAUAAUGGGUCAGCGACUUAUAUUCUGUAGCAAGGUUAACCGAAUAGGGGAGCCGAAGGGAAACCGAGUCUUAACUGGGCGUUAAGUUGCAGGGUAUAGACCCGAAACCCGGUGAUCUAGCCAUGGGCAGGUUGAAGGUUGGGUAACACUAACUGGAGGACCGAACCGACUAAUGUUGAAAAAUUAGCGGAUGACUUGUGGCUGGGGGUGAAAGGCCAAUCAAACCGGGAGAUAGCUGGUUCUCCCCGAAAGCUAUUUAGGUAGCGCCUCGUGAAUUCAUCUCCGGGGGUAGAGCACUGUUUCGGCAAGGGGGUCAUCCCGACUUACCAACCCGAUGCAAACUGCGAAUACCGGAGAAUGUUAUCACGGGAGACACACGGCGGGUGCUAACGUCCGUCGUGAAGAGGGAAACAACCCAGACCGCCAGCUAAGGUCCCAAAGUCAUGGUUAAGUGGGAAACGAUGUGGGAAGGCCCAGACAGCCAGGAUGUUGGCUUAGAAGCAGCCAUCAUUUAAAGAAAGCGUAAUAGCUCACUGGUCGAGUCGGCCUGCGCGGAAGAUGUAACGGGGCUAAACCAUGCACCGAAGCUGCGGCAGCGACGCUUAUGCGUUGUUGGGUAGGGGAGCGUUCUGUAAGCCUGUGAAGGUGUGCUGUGAGGCAUGCUGGAGGUAUCAGAAGUGCGAAUGCUGACAUAAGUAACGAUAAAGCGGGUGAAAAGCCCGCUCGCCGGAAGACCAAGGGUUCCUGUCCAACGUUAAUCGGGGCAGGGUGAGUCGACCCCUAAGGCGAGGCCGAAAGGCGUAGUCGAUGGGAAACAGGUUAAUAUUCCUGUACUUGGUGUUACUGCGAAGGGGGGACGGAGAAGGCUAUGUUGGCCGGGCGACGGUUGUCCCGGUUUAAGCGUGUAGGCUGGUUUUCCAGGCAAAUCCGGAAAAUCAAGGCUGAGGCGUGAUGACGAGGCACUACGGUGCUGAAGCAACAAAUGCCCUGCUUCCAGGAAAAGC
rnacentral:rRNA from 1 species